rnacentral:tRNA from 1 species
GGUGGCUCAGUGGUAGAGUGCUUGCUUUGCAUGCAUGAGGCCCACCCUGGGUUCGAUUCCUCAGCACCA